CGGCGCAUCCGCGGGCCCGGGCCAUGUGAGCGCCCGGGGCUCCGGGAAAGCCAUCUUGGGCGGCUGCGAGCGCCUCAUAGGCUCCCGGGCGGCCGCGAAGGGAUGAUGCUCGCUCGGCUCCCCGCCUGCCCGCCCGUCAGGCGCCCGUGAGCGCCGGCCCCGAGCGCCGCCGGAGCUGCGGCUGCUGCCGGCCCCGGAUCCCCGAGCUGCGGCUGCUGCCGGCCCCGGACCCCCGAGCUGCGGCUGCUGCCGACACCCGGAGCUCCGAUCCCCGGAGCUGCUGCCGGCCCCGCUCGGCUCCCGCAUGAGCCCGCUGGCCCCCGGCACCGCCUGAGCGCAGGCUGGAAAUGAUCCCUCGUGCCUGCAGCUUCACAGGAAAUACCUGAGCAGACCUGGUUUGUAGGAGAGACACAGGUUCCAAGUCCCAUGUAACCACCUUAGAUCAAAGCGUCGUCCCUGGCAGCUCUUGGAGGAGCAGCUGAAGGAUGCAGUGCAGGAGGAGAACUGCCUGAGCCUGCAGCAUGCCAGCGUGUGCCCCCGAGCAUUGCAGCGCGGCCAGGUAAAAUCAGACUAUGACCAUCUUCGAGAAGCCCUUCUCAGAGUGACCAAAGAACGAGAUUUGGCUGUGAGGGGAAAACACCAGCUCCAAGCCAAGCUGGAGAACCUAGAGCAGGUCCUGAAGGUGUGUAUAAAUCCCAAAUCCAUCACUCCAGCCCUGCCUGCACUGCCAGGGGUGCCCUGCAGACCCGGGCACCGUGCCCCCCUCAGCUCAGCUCAGCUCAGCUCAGCUCAGCCCAGGGUGUGGAACGAGAGCACCAGGCACUGGCCGGGGUCUCAAACCAGCUCAGAGCACUCAGAGACCUUUUCCUGGAACUUUGUGGGCACCUUGCACUGCACAGUUAUUUGAGUGAAAAUGAGAGAGGAUGAGGGCAGGAACAAACUGCCCAGAUAUUUAACUGCAGAGAUCUGUGUCUGCCACUCCCACUGGCUGCAAAAUAUCACUGUGGCCUUUGUGUUCUGUGCCUCUCACUGUUCUGCUUAAGAGCUGCUUCAAAAAUUUUCCCGGGCUGAACCCAAAAUUCUCUGGUGGAUACAGAGAUCCUGGCCUUUCACGUUCAGAGCUUUUGUCCCCUAAGCAGAGCCCUUGUGAGCUGCAGAGCACCUUGAGGCCCCCCAGCUCCUCCUCAGCACUGGGCCAUGCCCAGCAGAUGCAGCUCACGGUGCAUUUCAUGCGUGUCCUCAUAUGCCCAGCAAGUCAGGAGUUUGGAAAAACAGCCUGCAGCUUCCCAGCCACUGCAGAAAAGUUCUGAGAAAUAUUUAGCCUGGUUUCCCUGUCUGAAAAGCAGUUCUGUUUGUCUUUUGAGGAACUCGGGAUGUAUCAGCAAAGCAGAAGAUGGAGAACUGCUGACGAGCUGAUUCUGCUGGCAGUGCCCAUGCUGCAGGGCUCUGAUUGCCUCUGUGUGCAGGCAGCUCCUUCAGCC